GAUCCUUCGAUGUCGGCUC
rnacentral:ncRNA from 3 species